AGGGGAAAUGUCUGUGCGUGUUAUUGAGCGAAUGUGUGGUCCCUGGAGCCAAAUGGCGCGAGGGGAGGCAAAAAAAAUCAGGCAAAAAUCAAAUCGCGCGUCUCAGAGAAGGGAAACCUGAAAAGAGGAAGCGGCUGCUUUCCUGCAUUCUGCCUCAGGGUCUUACUGCCCACCCACCUCUGUUUCCUUGCUGUGUUUGCUCAAACGGAACAAAGAGCAGGGAAAGCCCCUCCCCUCCAGGCAAGCAGAGGGGAAAGCAGAGUGUCAUCUCUGUGCUCCGGUGCUGCUGAAAACAUGCUGGAGGGAGAGAGCGAGAGCGCGCGCGCGAGCUGGCUGGCUUGGGUGGGUAGGUGAGGGAAAACUUUUGCCUUCCUUUCCUCCCUCCCGUUAUACCCCUCUCCUGCAUUCUUAGCCAGCUGCUUCUCUGCACACCCCUCUCCUGCUCCUUGUCCCUUCUGUGUUUUUCCUUCCCUCCCCACUUAAAAUGUGGUUAAAAAGCAUGGAUCCACAUGGAUCCUCAGGAUCUUUGCAUUGGGUCACCCCAAAUUCACCAUCAGAUCACAUAGCAUGUCCAUGGCUACAGCCUGCCCCCCAAAAAUCACGCACCCACUGUUGCCUGGGGCUGCAAUGGUGCAAAAAUGUGGUUAAAAAGCAUGGAUCCACAUGGAUCCUCAGGAUCUUUGCAUUGGGUCACCCCAAAUUCACCAUCAGAUCACAUAGCAUGUCCAUGGCUACAGCCUGCCCCCCCCAAAAUCACGCACCCACUGUUGCCUGGGGCUGCAAUGGUGCAAAAAUGUGGUUACAAAGCAUGGAUCUACAUGGAUCCUCAGGAUCUUUGCAUUGGGUCACCCCAAAUUCACCAUCAAAUCACAUAGCAUCCUGCCCCCCAAAAAUCACACACCCACUGUUGCCUGGGGCUGCAAUGGUGCAAAAACGUGGUUACAAAGCAUGGAUCCACAGGGAUUCUCAGGAUUUUUGCAUUGGGUCACCCCAAAUUCACCAUCAGAUCACAUGUCUGUGGCCACAGCAUGAAGCACAAAAAUGAUACAUCCACUGUUUAAUUCAGAAUGUUUUUUCCCUUGUUUUCCUCCUCUAAAAACGAUGUGCAUGUUAUGGUCAGGUGCGUGUUAUAGAGCGAAAAAUACGGUAUUUAU